rnacentral:misc_RNA from 1 species
CUAUUUUUUGUAAUUGUCAUAGCAUGCCCUCAGCGGGCAAUUUUUCAAAUUCUCUGUCAUGGUUUUGUAGAGGUAUCUUAUAGAAUAGGGGAUUUUUGGGGUUUACCUGAUAAAGGGACAAAAAGAAACAUUGUUAUUGUCAUUCUUUUGGUUGGAAUUGUUCUACUGGUUCUGCAUUUAUGUGAAUUUAUAGGUUACCUUGUUAUUGCUGUUCCUUCACUUUCUAAAAUACAAGACAAAAACCAACUACAAAGUAACCUAUAA